rnacentral:rRNA from 1 species
CAGCCGCCGCGGUAAAACGUAGGGUGCAAGCGUUAAUCGGAAUUACUGGGCGUAAAGCGUGCGCAGGCGGUUAUGCAAGACAGAUGUGAAAUCCCCGGGCUCAACCUGGGAACUGCACUUGUGACUGCAUGACUAGAGUACGGCAGAGGGGGAUGGAAUUCCGCGUGUAGCAGUGAAAUGCGUAGAUAUGCGGAGGAACACCGAUGGCGAAGGCAAUCCCCUGGGCCUGUACUGACGCUGAGGCUCGAAAGCGUGGGGAGCAAACAGGACUAGAUACCCCCGUAGUCCCUGUCUCUUAUAC